UCACUGAUGCAUCUACCUCCCACUACCCUGACAGCAACGGAAAGGUCACAAUUAAGUGGAAACUCGCCGCACAGCCUGUUUAAUCUGAAGGGGGAAGGGAAAGAAACGCGAAGAAAAGGACAAAAAUCUGCGCGCCUCCAAGGCAGGCAGGCAGGCACCUCCGUGGAAAACCCACUCCCGCCUGCUGACACCUAUGCUCAUCCAACAGAUCAUGCCGACUGAAGAUGCAGGUUGCUCUUUAAAACAACAGGAUCAUGUCCUGCAACCAACCAUGUGGGUGGGGAGAAUGUGUGAACUCCCUAUUGAUGAUCAUGAUGCAGCUGAAGAAAAUUUGUCACCUCAGUGUGGUACAAUGUACUUACCAUGAUGCUAAAUAUCUUGUGGACACAUUUCCAGGACACAGCUCACACUCUUCUCCCUGCUGCCACCCUGUGAAAGAAGGUGCCUGCUUUCCCAUCCGCCAUGAUUGUAAGUUUCCU